rnacentral:rRNA from 1 species
GACGAACGCUGGCGGCGUGCUUAACACAUGCAAGUCGAACGAAAAGGCCCUGCUUGCAGACUUCUGCAGUGACGAACGGCUGAGUAACACGUGGGUGGUCAGCCCUGCACUUCGAGAUAAGCCUGGGCAACUGGGUCUAAUACCGAAAAGGAGCUAUAUUUAAUGUGAUGGUUGGACAGUGUUUUCGGUGUAGGAUGAGCCUGCGGCCUAUAAGCUUGUUGGCGGGGUAAUGGCCUCAGAAGGCGGCGACGGGUAGCCGGCCUGAGAGGGUGGCCGGCCACAGUGAGACUGAGAGACGGCCCAGACUCCGACGCGUGGGAGAAGUGGGGAAGAUUGAACAAGGAGCGCAGGGCUGAUGCAGCGACGCCGCGUGGGGGAUGACGAUGUUGGAAUUGUAAACGCAAUUCGCUAGGGACGAAGCAUUUUGUGACGGUACCUAGAUAGAAAGCACCGGCUAACUACGUG